GAUGAACGCUGGCGGCGUGCCUAAUACAUGCCAGUCGAGCGAACAGACGAGGAGCUUGCUCCUCUGACGUUAGCGGCGGACGGGUGAGUAACACGUGGAUAACCUACCUAUAAGACUGGGAUAACUUCGGGAAACCGGAGCUAAUACCGGAUAAUAUAUUGAACCGCAUGAUUCAAUAGUGAAAGACGGUUUUGCUGUCACUUAUAGAUGGAUCCGCGCCGCAUUAGCUAGUUGGUAAGGUAACGGCUUACCAAGGCGACGAUGCGUAGCCGACCUGAGAGGGUGAUCGGCCACACUGGAACUGAGACACGGUCCAGACUCCUACGGGAGGCAGCAGUAGGGAAUCUUCCGCAAUGGGCGAAAGCUUGACGGAGCAACGCCGCGUGAGUGAUGAAGGUCUUCGGAUCGUAAAACUCUGUUAUUAGGGAAGAACAAAUGUGUAAGUAACUAUGCACGUCUUGACGGUACCUAAUCAGAAAGCCACGGCUAACUACGUG
rnacentral:rRNA from 1 species